GAGACCAUCCUUGGGUGGCAGAUAUUCUUUCCAAAGGAGCUGUGUCUGCUGUUUCCAGAACUGCCUUCUUUGAAGUGCAGAGCCUUGCUGAGAUUCCUGUGAAUGAAGUAAUGGCCUUCAAUGCCUCUCAUCACACCGUUUCACCUGUGCCGUGAUGCACCUCUGCUUGAGCCAAGUCUCACCAGAGCAGUUUUUUUGAAAUAAUGGAGAAGAUAAUGAAAA
rnacentral:lncRNA from 10 species